rnacentral:rRNA from 1 species
ACACGUAGGGGCCUGACGUUGUUCGGAAUCAUUGGGCGUAAAGGGCGCGCAGGCGGCCGUCCAAGUCCGGUGUUAAAUGGUCGGGCUCAACCCGAUCAUGCGCUGGAAACUGGGCGGCUUGAGUCCCGUAGGGGAUGCCGGAAUUCCAGGGGUAGGGGGGAAAUCUGUAGAUAUCUGGAAGAACACCGAUGGCGAAGGCAGGCAUCUGGCCGGAGACUGACGCUGAGGCGCGAAGGCGCGGGGAGCGAACAGGUUUAGAUACCCUGGUAGUCCGCGCAGUAAACGAUGCGCACCAGGUGUCGGGCGGCAGCGCCCGGUACCGGAGCUAACGCGAUGAGUGCGCCGCCUGGGGAGUAUGCCCGCAAGGGUGAAACUCAAAGGAAUUGACGGGG